ensembl:lncRNA
UACAAGGAAGUGAAGAAAAGUUCUAAGUUACUCUGCUUAGUGCUUACAAACUAUUUGGUUUAAUUGGUCAAACGCCAAGUUGUUCGCGAGACAUAUAAAAGUACGCUAAAACAGAUGAAAAGCAUGUGUGAAAGACGCGUUUUAUUUAGAACUUGUGUCUCGCGGACUCACUCAUGCUUUCAUUGACAGUACUGAUGGACUGAUACACCUUCAUUUAAGCGACUUUUAAGCGGAAAAUUGCCACAGCUCUGACAGCAGACACGAUGAAGAUGAUUACAUUCUUCAUCGUGGGACUCAUUGUACAUGUAGUCUUCUUUCUCUCAAUAUUUGACAUCUAUUUCACAUCCCCUCUCGUCCAUGGAAUGACACCACAUAGUGUCCCUCUGGCCCCUCCGGCCUGAUGGUUUCCAUAAAAUGCAGUUUGAUUCUGUUUUUAAUGAGACCAGGUAUUCCUGGUGUUGGGGUAGCCCUGAUAUAUUACCGAUGUUUGCUAAAGGAGCCACUGGAGAACAUGUGUACACUCACACUUACCCUCCAGAGCGGGAGGACUUUGCCUCCACUGAUGCUUCCAGACUUGAUACAUGGGUAUUUGAUGAAGUGAAGGGAAUAUCUAGAGAACACUGGCCUGGUUGAUGCUGGUGUUGCUGAAAUUGUCACUAUGAUGGACGACUUUUAUGGGCAUGAUAGAAAAACGGCUUAUGUUUUUACAUCCGACCAUGGAAUGACAAAUUGGGGAUCUCACGGUGCGGGACAUCCAUCAAACGCUGACCCACUGGUAUCUUGAGGCACUGGUGUCCAGACACGCAAUGGGAGAGCUCUCACAAAUAUGAUGAUAAUUAUUUAAAAGAAUGGGGGUUGGAUACUUCCAGGAGAGUGGAUGUCAAUCAGGUGAAAAUGGCACAGAAGAAAGAAACAACAAUAUAUUUUCUGUUUACACCCUGCCAGUAACCGAAAGGAAACUGGGACAGAUGUUUCUGUGUACAGAUCUGCUUAUGGCUCUGUUCUUCUUGGUUCAGUCCAGUCCUUGGACCUACUACAUCUACUGCUUGCUCCCUCUGCCUGUGUGGUUCUCUGUCAUGAGGAAAUUUGAAACUCUUGCCGGACUUGUUUGAGCAAUCCCCUCAUUACCACUCAGCAAAUGCUUUGGAUAUUUUUUGCUAGUUACUUUUGGAAUUGAAUUACUUGUAAGUGCUCGAUUAGCUGUGUGCUAGACAUGGUGCAUGCUGUUGUCUGUGUUUGAGUGUUAGCGCUAUUUUGCACUCUAGUAAUUAGAUGUGUUAACUAUUUCACUUCUAUUUCACUUCUUUCAUUUCCUGUCUGCUGGUUGUGAGUUUUUUCUAUCAGGCAAUGUUGACCUUGGGGCUGCUUGUGCUGGCACUGUGGCCUGUGGUUUCUGGCCUUUACACAAAAGGUCUGAAAGUAGUGUUUUUUAAUACUCGUUUUUGUGUUUUAUACUGUAGUUCAGUUCAUUGAGCUGGAUUUUGAGCUGUCUCUUUCUGGCUGUGUUUCCACUGUUGCCUGUGGUGGGACAGGAACCAGACAUUAACUGUGUAAUGGCGUCAGGAAGGUUUAUCUUCUAAAUUGAAUGGAGACGCUCUCCUCUGUUCCGAAGGGAUCGUCAGCUGAUCAUCUGCCAGGUCAUUUUUGACUCUUUCUCUGUGUCCAUUUUCAUUUGCAUGUUCUGUGGUUUCGGUUAGUGGUCCCAUGGAAUGCAGCUGUAGUAAGGGUUUCAUUUUGAUUUUGUUUUUAAAUUAUUUACUUAUUUUUAUGAUUUAAUUUAUUAUUAGCCUGCAGUUUCCUCAUGAACCCCCAAAGAGAUCUGCAAAUUCCAGUUGAGAAGCCCUGUGUUUAAAAAUAGUGAUCCAGGGUACAGUUCUGUAAAGAGUAGGUUCAGGCGAGUUAGAGAAAUUCAGUAUAUGACAUGAAAACCAUUUAAAUAAGGCAAAAGUAAGGGAGAAUAGAAGGGGCUAUAAAGUAAAUACACUAGGAAGUAAUGACCAAAAUGCAAAUGGAAAAUACACAUAGUAAUAGGGUAUCCGCUAUUGACUGAGUAUAAUUUGCCUUUUAUAGUAUAUACUGCAUUUCCUGUUGCUGAUUAUCUCUGAAAUUUUAUGAUAUCUCUUGCAACAGCAGCAGACAGAAACAAGCAACAUUUUGUAUGUGUUUAGCUAGUAAAACCAAAUAGUAAAAAUCAAAACAGAACUUUUUUUUGUACACAAGACACAUUACUGUUACUCUACUGCAAACUAUUUCAGAAUCAAAUUAUUUUAACCUAUUUUAAAUAGUAGAUACAAAAUCAAAAAAGAUUUGAUCUCUAGUAGGCUAUUCCUUUCACACUUGCAUUUAGCCUAAAUGUAGCCUACUGUGAGAUUGGAAAUGUAUUGUCUUGCCCCAAAAUACAUUUUGGUUUAUAUUUUGGUUUAUAUUUUAUUUAUAUAUUUUUUAAAAAUAUAUUUUGGACAACUUUUUAUUUAUUUAUUUCCAUAUGGGCUAAAUGGGCAUUACAUCUAAAUUUAACCUACUUUAAACUCCUCCGGGAAUCUUAUUUGUGUACAUUUGUUUGCAGAUGAUGCAGGUGAUGCUGUGUGCUUACACCCUGACCAGCACACACCCAAGUCUGCAGCUGAAGCAAGGCUUGCCUCUCUUUAACUAGCUUGUUAGCUUGCUCACACUAGGUUUGCCAUCUCCAUUCCCAUGAUGCUUUAUUACCAAUUUUAGACUGUAAAGGGAUAGUUUGCCCAAAAAUUACACUUCUGUCAUUGUUUACUCAUCCUCAUGUCAUUUCAAAUCUGUAUGGUUUUCUGUCUUCUGUGGAACACUCAUAAAGUCAUAAAGAUUUAAAAUGACAUGAGGGUGACAAAAUGGUGAGAUGAACCCUUGAUGCAUGACUGCUAACCAGUGAAUUGCACUUCUUCUUUUCAUCCGUCCUGUUCAUACUUUAACCCUUGCUCUCUAACACUUUGUUUUUUAGUUUCCUCAUUUUUGAUAACGUUGUUAAGUUCCACCAGGCUCUUCUCACACACUUCUGAGUAUCCUGAUGUCCUUAGUUUGUGUCUACCUCCUCCUGAGCACAGGGUAAAAGCCACUAACCAUUAAUCUAACGCCAUCUAAUCAUUCAUUUUUAUGUGUCUGUGCUAGGUUUAACAGUACUUCAGCACAUGUUAGAUUUAGUCAAAUUCUCCUCUUGAGGUUGCCUGUCUAAGGAAAUGGAAUUAAAAAAAAAACCACAUAGUGCUUACAGCAAGCUGUUAAGUUGCAGAAGUUUUUAGUUUAGCCACUGACUGGUUUGAGACCGUUUCAGUUAUACAGAGAAUAUUAUAACGAAUAAUUAAUAAUCUAAUUAAAUAAUAACACUACCAUUCAAAAGUUUGGGGUUGGUUAUUUUUUAAGGAGGUCUUACAUGCCCACCAAUGGCUGUUUUUAUUUUUAAUGCAGUAAAUAGUUCAUAAUAUGAAAUAUUACAAACCUGAUUCCAAAAAAGUUGGGACACUGUACAAAUUGUUAGUAAAAAAGGAAUGGAAUAAUUUACAAAUCUCAUAAACUUAUAUUUUAUUCACAAUAGAAUAUAGAUAACAUAUCAAAUGUUGAAAGUGAGACAUUUUAAAAUGUCAUGCCAAAUAAUGGCUCAUUUUGGAUUUCAUGAGAGCUACACAUUCCAAAAAAGUUGGGACAGGUGGCAAUAAGAGGCCGGAAAAGUUAAAUGUACAUAUAAGGAACAGCUGGAGGACCAAUUUGCAACUUCUUAGGUCAAUUGACAACAUGAUUGGGUAUAAAAGAGCCUCUCAGAGUGGCAGUGUCUCUCAGAAGUCAAGAUGGGCAGAGGAUCACCAAUUCCCCCAAUGCUGCGGCGAAAAAUAGUGGAGCAAUAUCAGAAAGGAGUUUCUCAGAGAAAAAUAGCAAAGAGUUUGAAGUUAUCAUCAUCUACAGUGCAUAAUAUCAUCCAAAGAUUCAGAGAAUCUGGAAUAAUCUCUGUGCGUAAGGGUCAAGGCCGGAAAACCAUACUGGAUGCCCGUGAUCUUCGGGCCCUUAGACAGCACUGCAUCACAUACAGGAAUGCUACAGUAAUGGAAAUCACAACAUGGGCUCAGGAAUACUUCCAGAAAGCAUUAUCGGUGAACACAAUACACCGUGCCAUUCACCGUUGCCAGCUAAAACUCUAUAGGUCAAAAAAGAAGCCAUAUCUAAACAUGAUCCAGAAGCGCAGGCGUUUUCUCUGGGCCAAGGCUCAUUUAAAAUGGACUGUGGCAAAGUGAAAAACUGUUCUGUGGUCAGACGAAUCAAACUUUGAAGUUCUUUUUGGAAAACUGGGAUGCCAUGUCAUCUGGACUAAAGAGGACAAGGACAACCCAAGUUGUUCUCAGCGCUCAGUUCAGAAGCCUGCAUCUCUGAUGGUAUGGGGUUACAUGAGUGCGUGUGGCAUGGGCAGCUUACACAUCUGGAAAGGCACCAUCAAUGCUGAAAGGUAUAUCCAAGUUCUAGAACAACAUAUGCUCCCAUUCAGACGUCAUCUCUUUCAGGGAAGACCUUGCAUUUUCCAACAUGACAAUGCCAGACCACAUACUGCAUCUAUUACAACAUCAUGGCUGCGUAGAAGAAGGAUCCGGGUACUGAAAUGGCCAGCCUGCAGUCCAGAUCUUUCACCCAAACAUUUGGUGCAUCAUAAAGAGGAAGAUGCGACAAAGAAGACCUAAGACAGUUGAGCAACUAGAAGCCUGUAUUAGACAAGAAUGGGACAACAUUCCUAUUCCUAAACUU